UACGUAGGUGGCAAGCGUUGUCCGGAAUUACUGGGCGUAAAGCGUGCGCAGGCGGUUGUGCAAGGCAGAUGUGAAAUCCCCGGGCUCAACCUGGGAAUUGCAUUUGUGACUGCACGGCUAGAGUGUGUCAGAGGGGGGUAGAAUUCCACGUGUAGCAGUGAAAUGCGUAGAGAUGUGGAGGAAUACCGAUGGCGAAGGCAGCCCCCUGGGAUAACACUGACGCUCAUGCACGAAAGCGUGGGGAGCAAACAGG
rnacentral:rRNA from 1 species